rnacentral:tRNA from 1 species
GCAGAGUGGCGCAGCGGAAGCGUGCUGGGCCCAUAAACCAGAGGAUCGAUAGAUCGAAACCAUCCCUCUGCU